rnacentral:lncRNA from 1 species
CCGGGCGCCGCGCCGCAAGGCACCGCGCUGCCCCCCGGCAGUGCGCCCGCGGCUGCACCUGCACGCACGCCCGCGUGCACACCUGCAUCCACACACACCCCACGGCUACCCCCCCACCCACAAGCACAACUACAGCUACACCGACACACACCCCUAUACCCACACCUACAUGCACACCUACACCCACACGCACACCUAAGCACACAUACAUCCACACCCACAUGCACACUCACCCCUACACCCCCACCCACAUACACACCUACCCCCACGUUCACACCCACAUGCACACCUACACCUGUACCUACACCCACACCCAUACUCACAUACCUACACUUGCAACUACUCCUGCACCCAUACCUACACCCACAUUCACACCCACACGCACACCUACACCCAUACCUACACCUGCACCCAUACCUACACCCACAUUCACACCCACACGCACACCUACACCCAUACCUACACCUGCACCCAUACCUACACCCACAUUCAUACCCACACGCACACCUGCACCCAUACCUACUCCUGCACCCAUACCUACACCCACAUUCACACCCACAUUCACACCUACACCCGCACCCAUACCUACACCCAUAUUCACACCCACACGCACACCUACGCCCAUACCUACACCUGCACCCAUACCCACCCCCACAUUCACACCCACACCAAACUCCACCCGGUGCAGCACCCCGCUGCACCCCACGGCCACACCGCUGCCCUGCAGGGCCCCGUGGCACCACCCUGCUCCUCACCCCGAGCCCACCCCACAGCCCCGUCCUGCGGCCCGAAGUGACGCCGUGCCGGGUCUGUGCCCCGCUGCAGCCCUUCGCACACUGCCUGCGCUGGGAGGGCCCCAGGAAGGAGCGCGUCUGUCCCCAGGACCCCCACACCGCAGGCCUGACCCCUCCACACCCAGCCUCGUCCCCUCCUUUAGCACCCACUGGGGACUGCUCCUACACGUGCCCAGCCCUGCGGCUGCUCUACCUGUGCCUGCCACCCCUCGCCUGCCCCAAGGGUGCAAGUGCCACGCACAGCCCAUGGUUAAGGGGGUACAACAGCAACAGGUCCACCUGCUUGUCCCUCGCUGUCGCUCAGGACGGCUUGCCAGGUGGCCUCCACUGCCACCGAUGCCUUCGGGGCUUUGGAAAGGGAAACGGCCCGGAGAGCUGGGGCUCCGUCCCAGCAGCGCCGUGCCCCGUCCCCACAGCACCCCUGUGUGCCGGGGCGGCGGGGCUGAGGGCAGCGGGCAGCGGCAGGGCACGGGGGGCUGGGUUGUUCCCUGGUAGCACAGCGAUGUGACCAAACACUGGCUCCAUUAUCU